rnacentral:rRNA from 1 species
AUUGAACGCUGGCGGCAUGCCUUACACAUGCAAGUCGAACGGCAGCACGGGAGCAAUCCUGGUGGCGAGUGGCGAACGGGUGAGUAAUACAUCGGAACGUGCCCAGUAGUGGGGGAUAGCCCGGCGAAAGCCGGAUUAAUACCGCAUACGACCUAUGGGUGAAAGCGGGGGAUCGCAAGACCUCGCGCUAUUGGAGCGGCCGAUGUCAGAUUAGCUAGUUGGUGGGGUAAAGGCCUACCAAGGCGACGAUCUGUAGCUGGUCUGAGAGGACGACCAGCCACACUGGGACUGAGACACGGCCCAGACUCCUACGGGAGGCAGCAGUGGGGAAUUUUGGACAAUGGGCGCAAGCCUGAUCCAGCCAUGCCGCGUGCGGGAAGAAGGCCUUCGGGUUGUAAACCGCUUUUGUCAGGGAAGAAACGCUCCGAGUUAAUACCUCGGAGUAAUGACGGUACCUGAAGAAUAAGCACCGGCUAACUACGUGCCAGCCGCCGCCGUAA